GGAAGAUGCGAGCGUUAUCCGGAUUUAUUGGGUUUAAAGGGUGCGUAGGCGGGAUGCCAAGUCAGCGGUGAAAACUCCGGGCUCAACCCGGACCCCGCCGUUGAAACUGGUAACCUAGAGAGUAUUGGAAGUAAGCGGAAUGCGUGGUGUAGCGGUGAAAUGCAUAGAUAUCACGCAGAACCCCGAUUGCGAAGGCAGCUUACUACACUACCGCUGACGCUGAAGCACGAAAGCGUGGGUAUCAAA
rnacentral:rRNA from 1 species